rnacentral:rRNA from 1 species
GGACCCGCACAAGUGGUGGAGCAUGUGGUUUAAUUCGAUGCAACGCGAAGAACCUUACCAAGACUUGACAUCUUCUGCAAAGCUAUAGAGAUAUAGUGGAGGUUAUCAGAAUGACAGGUGGUGCAUGGUUGUCGUCAGCUCGUGUCGUGAGAUGUUGGGUUAAGUUCCGCAACGAGCGCAACCCCUGUCCUUAGUUACUAACAUUAAGUUGGGCACUCUAGGGAGACUGCCGGUGACAAACCGGAGGAAGGUGGGGACGACGUCAAGUCAUCAUGGCCCUUACGAGUAGGGCUACACACGUGCUACAAUGGGACGUACAGAGGGUCGCGAACCCGCGAGGGGAAGCUAAUCUCAUAAAACGUCUCGUAGUCCGGAUUGCAGUCUGCAACUCGACUGCAUG